AGGAGAACAAAGGGGGUUCUCUUCAAAAACCCUAAACUCACAAAAAUUCAACAAAUCAAAGGGAAAUCGAGCUAGAAAAUUGGGGCUUUAACUAAUUUCAUGAUCACCCAAGUUAGGAGAUCACAAGGCAAAGCGGGUGAAUCUUCAAGCAGUCAAGUUGGAACGGACACGCGCUUGAAGCCAAGGGUCUCUUCUGGAAGCAGCCACUCUAUCCCUAGGGAUAGAGGCAAGGUAUGUCUACAUCCCACCCUCCCCAGACCCUAUAAGUAGCUUUGCUAUUUGUAGGAUUUAUUGGGUAUGGUUGUUGUUGCUGGAGGCGUCCGUCCCAAAGCCCAUCGGCCCAACUCCUUCCACACUUUUCGGCUAUAAAUAUCAGCCUUCAACCACAGAUUGCUAUGGAUUCAUUGUCGAAGAAAGAUUAAGGAUUAACCAUUAUUUGAUGAGACUGCUCCGACAAGGAUAAAUCCCAUGGUGUUUCUUCAAAAACCGACUUCAAAUCAAGUAAUUUGAUUGCGGUAUCCAUCCACUUGCCUAUCAAACAAAAACACCUAAGCCAGGCCUGUUUAAGAAUGUGUGGAUAGUAGGGUUGAUUAAAAAUGAAGCGAGGAAAAUGGAAACGAGAAGGCAGUAAUGUGUAAAUCAGCAUAUUUGUUGGCUCCAAUUCCAAAUUCCAAACUUAUGGUACAAUCAAGCAUCGAGCAGUCGCUGCGGAUAAAGACAGAUUCAUGGAGGAAUUGACGGAAGCAUUGGAGGCAGAAAGAAUGAUCCAAGAGCGUGAACGGGAAGUCGCUGAGCAGAAAUUGGAAGCCCCCUGGAGAAAGAGAAAAGUGUUCUCAAGGGGCCAGGAUAAUCAAGAUGCUUCAGUUCAGUCUCUCACCAUGAGAUCCAUCAUGACGGUUGAGCUCACCAACGCGUGGCCUCGCCAGACUGUUGCUAUGGCUACCUGGAUUAGUGACCAAACCUCGAGUCCACGACCAAGCAGGGCCUUCGCCUCAGCUUUGAGGGCAAUAAGUGUCUUAGAACGCUUCACAGAGUAUGUCAUCUAGCCUAUCGACAUGUUAUAUUGUAAACCGACAUGAUAUUGUAACCAACAUGCUACUUUUUCGUUUCUUUACUAUAUCUUUCUUCAACAGGUAUUGUGAAUGGGUCAGCGGGUUAACGGGUCAGUGGGUGAACGGGUCAGUGGGUGAACGGCUCAGCGGGUGAACUGGUCACGGGUCAGUGGGUGGACGGGUCAGCAGGUCAGUGGGUUAACAGCUGAGCAGGUGAACUGGUCAACGGGUCAACUAGCCACUGGGUUAACAGGUCAGCGAGUAAACGAGUCAGCGGGUGAACUGGUUAGCGGGUGAACGGGUCAGCGAGUCUACAAUUCCCUAAAAGGUUACAUAAGAACGACAUGAAUGCUAGGACAUGGACCGUUUAACUGUAGCGAAAUCAUGUAUAUAAGUAGAAAAGAUGGACACCUGUAGUGUUUGUUUU